ncrna:unclassified sequences OTKONC RNA
AUAUUAGAUUUAUAUUAUAUUAAUAAUAAGUAGAAUAAAGUCCUAAGGGACGACUUCGUCACGUUAAAUCGUAUACGAUCCUUUUCGAGACCUCGCAGAAAAUUUCUCAAGAAAGAUUAACAGCAUUUUAAAAUGGGGUUACUUUGUUUAUGAUU